rnacentral:rRNA from 1 species
UGCAUGCGCGUGCUAUACAUGCAGUCGAGCGGACCAAAUCGGAGCUUGCUCUGAUUUGGUCAGCGGCGGACGGGUGAGUAACACGUGGGCAACCUGCCCGCAAGACCGGGAUAACUCCGGGAAACCGGAGCUAAUACCGGAUAACACCGAAGACCGCAUGGUCUUUGGUUGAAAGGCGGCCUUUGGCUGUCACUUGCGGAUGGGCCCGCGGCGCAUUAGCUAGUUGGUGAGGUAACGGCUCACCAAGGCGACGAUGCGUAGCCGGCCUGAGAGGGUGACCGGCCACACUGGGACUGAGACACGGCCCAGACUCCUACGGGAGGCAGCAGUAGGGAAUCUUCCGCAAUGGGCGAAAGCCUGACGGAGCGACGCCGCGUGAGCGAAGAAGGCCUUCGGGUCGUAAAGCUCUGUUGUGAGGGACGAAGGAGCGCCGUUCGAAGAGGGCGGCGCGGUGACGGUACCUCACGAGGAAGCCCCGGCUAACUACGUGCCAGCAGCCGCGGUAAUACGUAGGGGGCGAGCGUUGUCCGGAAUUAUUGGGCGUAAAGCGCGCGCAGGCG